GCCCGGGGGCACAAAAGUGUCACAGGAAUCGGACACAAAGGGCCCUUCCCGUGAGGACCAGAGUCUCCUCUCAGCACAAGAGGGGCCGAUGGAAAAAGCUGCAGGUGACGUGCUGCUGAAGGAGCACCCCUGCCCCCAGUCUGAGAAAUGGGGUGAUUCCCGGGACUCCAGAACCGAGGCCAACAUGGCGCCCCGAAGAUCUGGAACCUACAAUCCAGUGGGGAGGAAAGCACAGGCAUACAGGCGUUCAUUAGCUAUGUGACCUUGACAGCACGG